rnacentral:rRNA from 1 species
GCGCCUUCGCCACGCCCGCUCAGUCAGUAGGUUUGAGUCCGUGGCGUCGGACGAACGCUGGCGGCGUGCUUAACACAUGCAAGUCGAACGGAAAGGCCCUGCUUUUGUGGGGUGCUCGAGUGGCGAACGGGUGAGUAACGCGUGGGGAAUCUACCCCUCUCUACGGAAUAACACAGAGAAAUUUGUGCUAAUACCGUAUACGUCCCUUUUGGGAGAAAGAUUUAUCGGAGAUGGAUGAGCCCGCGUUGGAUUAGCUAGUUGGUGAGGUAACGGCCCACCAAGCGACGAUCCAUAGCUGGUCUGAGGGGAUGAUCAGCCACACUGGGACUGAGACACGGCCCAG